rnacentral:rRNA from 1 species
GGUAUUAGUGGUAGUCCUUAAAACCCAAAGGGCCUGGCGGUGACAUAGUCUUUUCAGGGGAGGCUGCCCUUUAAUCUGAUAGUCCGCAAGAAAGUCUACUUUUCCUUUAAGUUUGUGUACUUCCGUCGUCAGUUUAUGCUUAGAGGGGUUUAUAAACUAGCUAGGGGUUCCUUUGACGUCAGGUCGCAGUGCAGCUCAUGGGGAAGAAGAGGUGGCCUACAUUGGGGAGUUUUCGGAUUUUCCUUGGAAUUGGGAAAAGAAGGUGGACUUGAGAGUAAUGUUUUAGUAGUUUGAUGUCGUGAAAUAAAGCUCUGUGUCGUGU